rnacentral:rRNA from 1 species
GACGAACGCUGGCGGCGUGCUUAACACAUGCAAGUCGAACGGAAAGGCCCUGCUUUUGUGGGGUGCUCGAGUGGCGAACGGGUGAGUAACACGUGAGUAACCUGCCCUUGACUUUGGGAUAACUUCAGGAAACUGGGGCUAAUACCGGAUAGGAGCUCCUGCUGCAUGGUGUGGGUUGGAAAGUGUCGGCGGUUGGGGAUGGACUCGCGGCUUAUCAGCUUGUUGGUGGGGUAGUGGCUUACCAAGGCUUUGACGGGUAGCCGGCCUGAGAGGGUGACCGGCCACAUUGGGACUGAGAUACGGCGCAGACUCCUACGGGAGGCAGCAGUGGGGAAUAUUGCACAAUGGGCGGAAGCCUGAUGCAGCAACGCCGCGUGCGGGAUGACGGCCUUCGGGUUGUAAACCGCUUUCGCCUGUGACGAAGCGUGAGUGACGGUAAUGGGUAAAGAAGCACCGGCUAACUACGUG